rnacentral:ncRNA from 1 species
GAAAAGACUAUGAUGGGGAGAAGUAAAUAUGAAAUGUCUUAUAGAGAGAGUACCCUUUGGCUGGAAGGUACUUAGAAUAUCGUAUUGAAGCAGCCCUUAAGUUAAAACUUCGAAAUAACAGUAGAAGCUUUCGGUUAUGACCGUUAUAUGUUAGAGUGACUAUUUUAGUAAAUAGGGUGGUACCGCGAUUAAACUCGUCCCUAAG